rnacentral:rRNA from 1 species
GAUGAACGCUGGCGGCGUGCCUAAUACAUGCAAGUCGAGCGAACAGACGAGGAGCUUGCUCCUCUGACGUUAGCGGCGGACGGGUGAGUAACACGUGGAUAACCUACCUAUAAGACUGGGAUAACUUCGGGAAACCGGAGCUAAUACCGGAUAAUAUAUUGAACCGCAUGGUUCAAUAGUGAAAGACGGUUUUGCUGUCACUUAUAGAUGGAUCCGCGCCGCAUUAGCUAGUUGGUAAGGUAACGGCUUACCAAGGCAACGAUGCGUAGCCGACCUGAGAGGGUGAUCCGCCACACUGGAACUGAGCCACCGUCCAGACUCCUACGGGAGGCAGCAGUAGGGAAUCUUCCGCAAUGGGCGAAAGCCUUACGGAGCAACGCCGCGUGAGUGAUGAAGGUCUUCGGAUCGUAAAACCCUUUUUUUAGGGAAAAACCAAUGUGUAAGUAACUAUGCCCGUCUUGACGGUACCCAAUCAGAAAGCCACGGCUAACUACGUG